rnacentral:rRNA from 1 species
UACGUAGGGUGCAAGCGUUAAUCGGAAUUACUGGGCGUAAAGCGUGCGCAGGCGGUUGUGCAAGACAGGUGUGAAAUCCCCGGGCUUAACCUGGGAACUGCACUUGUGACUGCACGGCUGGAGUACGGCAGAGGGGAUGGAAUUCCGCGUGUAGCAGUGAAAUGCGUAGAUAUGCGGAGGAACAUCGAUGGCGAAGGCAGUCCCCUGGGCCUGUACUGACGCUCAUGCACGAAAGCGUGGGGAGCAAACAGG